rnacentral:rRNA from 1 species
UACAGAGGUGACAAACGUUGUCCGGAAUUAUUGGGCGUAAAGGGCGCGUAGGCGGUUUGGUAAGUCGGAUGUGAAAUAUCUGGGCUCAACCCGGAGGUUGCAUUCGAUACUGCCAGACUUGAGUACGGUAGAGGAAGGUGGAAUUCCCAGUGUAGCGGUGAAAUGCGUAGAUAUUGGGAGGAACACCGGUGGCGAAGGCGGCCUUCUGGACCGAAACUGACGCUGAAGCGCGAAAGCUAGGGGAGCAAACGGG